rnacentral:lncRNA from 1 species
UGUGUCAUGCAAGAAGGAGGCGGCGGCGGCGGCCGGAGCUGGAGGGGGAGGAGGGGAGGAACCUGAUCCUCGGUAGCGAAGGGCUGGAGGCAAACACCGAGCUCCCCCUGAGCCGCCUGGGAGCAGGGAGGGUUCUGCUACCCUGAGGGGCCCUCCCCGCGGGGCAGAGGGGUUUCCUCAGCAGUGCCCCGGAGCAGGGACCGCGCCAGCCAGCAGAAACAGCUAGUUGUUGUCUGCAGUGAAGAAUAAUUGGAAGCAUGGUGCCUGUUUCUUUUCCUAGGAGUGUUCCACUGACUGACCUCUUUUUGUUUUCAAAUGAAGAGGAGCCAAGAAUAGGACAGCUUGGGAAGCUCAUCCUCGUCUACGGCCAAACGUUGGUUUCUCAUUUCUAGAAGAUGAAAGAUGUGAUGACUCAGGAAAAACUUGCUGCUCGAGAUGUGAGUCUUCAGAUGUUCCUGCCGCCAUAUCUGACAGCUGCUGCCAAGAUUCCCUGGUGGGAUGGACUCUUAUACCUCAACAACCAGAAGCCCAAGUAAACUCUUCUAUAAAUUGAAUGACUCAUGCUUAAAAAAAAAAACAAAAAACAAACUAUCUUUAUUUUGUGUGCAUUGGUGUUUUGCCUACAUAUAUGUCUGUGUGAGAGUGUCAGAUUCCUUGGAACUGUAGCUACAGAUAGUUGUGAGCCACCAUGUGGGUGCUGGGACUUGAACCCCAGUCCUCUAGAAGAGCAGCUGGUAGGUACUCUUAACCACUGGACCAUCCCUCUAGACCCUGAUCAUGGUGUUUUAACUACAGCAAAAGAAAAGUAAUUAGCACAAUCAGGUUAGCCAGAGGGCACACCUGUGACAGAUUUUUCCUAAGUGCAUUCAUCAGGGGGAGGCCCACCCUGGAUGGGGGCAGCACCCUUCCUUGGGUUUGGGUCUUAGAAAGAAUAAACACAGAGAGGGAGCUGAGCACAAGCCAGCAAGCACAAGCUAAGCAAGCACUGUCCAGUCUUCCUCUGCUUUGACUGAGGAUGUGACGUGUCUAGCUGCUUCAGGUUUCUGCCUCGAAUCCCCUGCAGUCAUAGACUAUAACCUGGAAUUGUGAGCCAAAAGAAAAACAAAAGAAAACAAAAUCCAUUUUCUCCCCAUAUGUUGCUUUUUGGUCAAAGCAUUUGAUCCCAGUAACAGAAAAGAAAUGAGGACAGGCAAGAAGAGGCCAUACCACAGAGCCAGGAGCAGGUUGUAGUGCCAAGUUGCAGAGGCCGGGGAGGAGCAUAGGUGCAGAGCAGCCGCUGUCAGAAUGUUCAGGGAAAAGGAGAAGAGAGGAUGUGUCAGGGAAGUGAGCUGGCUCAGUCCAUAACAGCAUGGUCUUGCUGUCUUUUACAGGGUCUGAAGUCUACCUUAGUGCAGUGGGAGCCACUAACUGUCCUAGUAUGAAGGAAGGAUAUUGAUGUUUUUUGGGCAUGUAAGUGUGUGUGUGUGUGUGUGUGUGUGUGUGUCCCCAUACUCUAGGGACUGAGCCUCCUCACCCAUGUACCACACAGCUUCAGUCCCAGUCCCAUAUUUUGUUUUCAAUCAAACUUUAUACAAAUGUUUCUCAAGAAAAUUAUAAGUUACUUCUUUUAUUUCUCAUUAAUAAUAUUUUGGGGUUUUUAUUUAAUAAAUUUUAAAGCAAGAUGAGCAUUUCAUAAAAG